rfam:Dipodomys ordii contig_1608, whole genome shotgun sequence.
GGGAAGGUGGCUUAGUGGUACAGUGCUUGCCUUGCAUGCAUGAGGCCCUGGGUUCGAUUCCUCAGCAGUACCA